GUGGGGAAUCUUCCGCAAUGGACGAAAGUCUGACGGAGCAACGCCGCGUGAGUGAUGAAGGUCUUCGGAUUGUAAAGCUCUGUUAAUCGGGACGAAAGAGCCUAGUGUGAAUAAUGCUAGGAAGUGACGGUACCGGAAUAGAAAGCCACGGCUAACUACGUGCCAGCAGCCGCGGUAAUACGUAGGUGGCAAGCGUUGUCCGGAAUUAUUGGGCGUAAAGCGCGCGCAGGCGGAUCUGCCAGUCUGUCUUAAAAGUUCGGGGCUUAACCCCGUGAUGGGAUGGAAACUACAGAUCUAGAGUAUCGGAGAGGAAAGUGGAAUUCCUUGUGUAGCGGUGAAAUGCGUAGAUAUUAGGAAGAACACCAGUGGCGAAGGCGACUUUCUGGACGAAAACUGACGCUGAGGCGCGAAAGCCAGGGGAGCGAACGGGAUUAGAUACCCGAGUAGUCC
rnacentral:rRNA from 1 species